UGUACACACCGCCCGUCACACCAUGGAAGUUGGUCACGCCCGAAGUCGUUACCCCAACCGUAAGGAGGGGGAUGCCUAAGGUAGGACUGAUGACUGGGGUGAAGUCGUAACAAGGUAGCCGUACCGGAAGGUGUGGCUGGAUCACCUCCUUUUAGGGAGACCUAAUCCAUUUAGAAAUUUCCCAGCAAUUUUCAUUGCUAGAAACUAAAUUGGUCUAACCUAGGUCGGUCGCAGACUUGAAGUAAAGCUUUCAAACUAUGAUUUGGUUCGAUAAGGGCUAUUAGCUCAGGUGGUUAGAGCGCACCCCUGAUAAGGGUGAGGUCCCUGGUUCGAGUCCAGGAUGGCCCACCUGAAGAAUUUUAGAUUGGUGAUUUGAGAUUUUAGAUUGAGAAAAAAAAUCAAUCCAAAAUCGUCAAUCCAAAAUCCAAAAUUUUGUAGGGGGGUUUAGCUCAGUUGGUAGAGCGCCUGCUUUGCAAGCAGGAUGUCAGCGGUUCGAGUCCGCUAACCUCCACAUUGGAAAAAAAACAGCACCUAACUAUAAAAGUUAGACUGCUGGGUGAAAUUCCAGCCAGAACCUUGAAAACUGCAUAAGAGAACGAGAAAAAGCAGGCAGAAACAGACAUUACAUUUAAAUGGAUGUGAAAGCCAAGAAAAAUUGUGGUCAAGCUAAUAAGGGCUAAUGGUGGAUACCUAGGCACACAGAG
rnacentral:misc_RNA from 1 species